ACCCGUCCGUCCAGAUGACAGUGGCCGCGUCAUAGAGCGGCCGGGAGAUGGCUGGGAAGCGGUCCCGGAGGGCGUUCAGUUCCGCUUGGAUGGGCGGGGAGACUGUGCAGGUGGGCGGGGCCGGGGGUGUUGGCGGGGUGCGGUGUGUUGCCUGUCGCGCCCGGGUUUGGGCUCGGUGGCUGUAUGGCCGUGAGGUGGGUUGGUGGCGGUCUCUGGGGAGGGUGAUUUGGCGCGGCCAUCGCGCUACAGCAGCUGUGGUGAGUGGCGAGAGGCAACAUAGACGCAACAUAGGCGACAUAGGCAACGUCUUAAGCAUAAUAUGAUUCUGUGUGUGUAGUUGCUCACAACCAAAAGCCUGAUAUCAGUGACACGAUGGCCGAUGCGAUGCGCGAACCGAGCCUGCCCUAUUGGAUACGCGCAAUGGAGCUCUGAAUGGAUAAACUUGAUGGCCAAACAGUAGGCAAAACAGGCUGCGCAGUUGUCACUCCGCUCAUUUCUCGACAUUUAAUAACAAGUAAGUAUGCGUUUCCAACACCAUAGCGAGCUGUAACGGCCUCGAGUAUGGUCAUGUAUAGUAGGAUACAGGGAAGGAUACUAAGGAGGAACACGGAGAGCGAAAUUUGCAAUGGGACCGGGCAUAGGCUGCAUGGGACGUACUAGCUAUAGCACGUACUAACCCUUGCUCGCCGGCGUAUUGGUUGUUGUCACUUGCAAGCAGUGAAAGCGGUAGGACAGCAGAAUGCACUACUAAGAGCAGACAUGUUACCUCAAAUGGACGGUCACCGCCGUCCGCUGCUGAGGCCGCCGGUGGAGAACCACCAUGUACCAAAUGAAACCACGGAAACUGCUAGGUCGCUGGCAGGCUUGCAAUACACGGCGGGUCGUGGAACGGAGCGUAUGGGACCAACCUGCUGGAAACACCAGCGCCACCGACGCCCAGCAACACACAGCAACAUGUGGGGAAGGGAGCUGAGGGAGCACGAGGGCGCAAAACAAGCGGGGCCGUGGGGGAUGUAGGACACUAACCAACGCCGAGAAGGCAGGUGCAACAAAUACAACGCUGGGCUGGCGGGCCGGCAUGGCUGCUGAGGGCUGGGGGCUGGCGCGAGCUGUGCGAGGGGGUGCAAGAGGUGGAGUGGAAUAAAUAGGACAUAUGCAAUUGCUUUAAAAGUCGGCGGCAGCGAUCCACAAACAGCGGCCGCAGGGGCGGCGGCAUCACAGGAACAGCGGCCACAGGGGCGGCGGCGACACAGGGACAGCAGCCGCGGGGGCGGCGGCGGCGCCACGAGAAACGCUGAAUAGAAGAGCUUCACCAAUCACCAGAAAUGUACCUGCGCCACUACUAUGGUGCGGAGCUGAGCAGAUGAAACCUGAAAGGCCGUACGGCUGCAGCCGUGUAUGGGGUGUGCAAUGGGACACGGAAUUUUUUUGUCAUGAAAAGUAAAAUGUAAUUAGCGUGAUGGAUAGCGUACGUACAGUGUAUGCAGGGUAUUCAAUCGCCAUUGUAAAAAGAACAUGCAUCAAAAACUUAUGUGCAAAAAUGUCAUUGGGUUACCUGGGGUUCCUUGUCCCUCCUCGUGCCCCCCUCGUGCCUCUCCCCAGCCCUAACGGCGUUACCUCGCUCGUGAACCCACUAACGCAUGUGACCUGCUCACUCCUGGUUGUCCUCAGACGUGCUUGGCCUGGACCUCAUCACUCCAAAACUUACUUAUGUCUUCCCUAUACUAGUGCAUACCGCAGCCCUCUACACCAGCCAUCCACCCGCGAUCAUACAUGUACCCCGCCCCGCCUAUCACGCCUUGGGCACCGGCUGGCCCGUGACCAGCUUCAGCAUGUGAUGCACAGUGUUGCGCAGCCAGCCCAUCUUGCCACGCACACGAGACGCCACACGCUUGUUUAUCGCCCCUUCCCGCUUGUGCUUCAGAGCUGCGUUCACGAUCUUCACCCCGCUGUUCCACUUGCUGCCGUCCACAUGCCCUGCAGCGCCGCCUGCGUCCGCGAGCGUGGCAGCUAGCAUCAGCUCGUGCUCCUUGUAGGCGCCACGAGUCCUGCGCUUACGCAUGCUGAAGCCCCGUGUGGCGCGCGCCUGCUGCCGCAGGCGGUGCAUGAAUGUGAUCCUGGGUGUGGCACCCUUGAUCACGCGCAGGGACGGCUUGCCACCGCACAGGCACACGAGCAGCGAGAAGAACAGCUCGCAGCAGUCCGAGCUGAAUGAGCGCUCGCAUAGCUCUGCACGCCACUCCACCGGCAGCCGCUGCAAAACCUCCAGCCGCGUGUCGCCGUUCACCAGCCAGCUGGUCACGUUCUGCAGUGUGAAGCCAUUGACGUAGGUGGGCAGGGAAGGCUUGGCGCUGCCGUGUAGCACGCGCGCGGUGAAGAGCGUGUUGCCCAACAUGCGCUGAAGCAUGUAGGUGCGCCGCAGGAUCCGUAGCGCCCGCUCCACGGGCUCCCAGCCGCACUCAUCAAAGGCCUCAAAGGCCUCGAUCAGGGUGCGCAGCACGACUGCCUCCCGCACGAACCCGUACGUCCGCAGGGCUGCGUGCAGCGGCACACAGCCUAUCCAGUACUGGGCGCAUGGUACUGACUGGGAGUCAGUCUCGCCACGGAUUAUGGCCAGGAGUGCGCCUGGGUCCAGGUUACCGUACCGCUCCACACGCUCUGCCGGGCAGGUGGCCUGAUACUCGCUCGCAAGUUCGUUGGCCACAGCCAUACCCACCACGCGGCCGAACAAAGCCAAACCAACCUGGCGACUGGACUCCAGCAGCCGCUGCUGUUGUCCCCAGCUGCUCGGGAGAUGGGGGUGCGCUCGUGUCCAUGCGCACGGGGCCACCUACACGGUAAGAGGGGCGGGUCACAUACACAGUAGGAAACGGUUCAAGCUCAGCCUACAGCGCCAGGCAACAAUUGCGCCCGCCCCCAUCGGACCUGGCGAGUCUGGGCUGGCAACGCCUGCAGGCGAUUGAGCCCCAGCGGUCACCAGCAUGCUGAUAGCCUGCGCACGUGUGGCUGCAAUCACAAACGGACAGGGCGUCAAUUACAGCCUUGGCCCAUGCCCAGCGCCAGGCAGCGUGCGUAACUUCCGACAUUGCUUGCGCUGCCCGUACACACCUGCCCGCCCCUGGUACGGAGAAAGCAAGCCUGUAACAGCGCGAGCUUCCCGCUGCAGCUCCUCCAGCUUCUCUUUCUUGCCCACCGCAGCGCGGGGCGCCCGAAUGGCAGGGGGUGCAGGCUGGAGCUUGACAGCGGCACGGGUGCGAGGCUGCGCCUGCGCCUGCGCCUGCAGCUCCUUCUGACGCGGCUGCAGCGUGUUAUGGUAACAUGUGCUAUGAACACAUGGCUCUGGAGCUCUGGACCCCUGCUGCCGGCGGACUGCGAGCACCGCAGCGUUGACCCCGCAUGGCGCGUAGUUUUCUAGGUUGACAGUGCGAAUGCCUUUUCCUCUUGCACGAGCGACCUUUGCACAUACCAGACAGUAGUUACAUAACGUGCCAUCUGAAUAGGAGACUUUGAGCUCGGUCAUUGUGGGGAAUUACAUCGCGACUUAACAACAGUACACGGUAGGUGCCAAAGCUAGUUAUAUUCGAGUUGAGCUAUGAUUCUAUGUAUAUGUAUGUUCCGAGAAACGGAAUUGGAGCUUGGACACACCGACCGCGCCCACAAACCCUGGGGUGGUACCCGCGUGUCUGCACCCUAAUGAGGAACUGGGACGAGCAAUCUGCAUUUACUUUGCCGUUGUUAAUGGCAGGCGCUGACUUCAGCUUUCAAGAAGCCAGAUCGUUGACAUGCCGCCCGGCACGCGCAGCACGGCCACGCUCCCCGCACCUCCCUACAUACCUGGCUGCAAGAUAGGGUGAGGCGCGCCCAGCAGAGGGAGGCCGCCCGCCUGCACGCCAUCAAGUGCGCCACCACGGCCCGCCUGACCACCUUCAAGAAGCACGGUACUCAUUCCAUGCACUGGCCUAUGGAGGCUGGCAAGCUGCUAAAUGCGGCGCUGCGCAAGGGCACUGGCGCCCCAGGGGCCCUGCCAGCUAUUGUGCCGCGUGGUUCCACAAGUCCACUAUCCGUGACGCCGCGCGCCCCAGCCGCCCUUCCAAUUUGGCCCCUUCCCUAUGGCAGCCAAAUGACCAGUUACGGGGCUGUUGGCGUUUGCGGGCCCUUGACGGGCCCCCCAGGGGGGAUGGGUCACGGGCCCCCUCGCCAGCGUGACGGGGCUCGGGGGGCCGUGGGGCCUGCGUGCCGAGCGCGCCCACACCGGGCACUCGCGGAACGGGCCCUCUCGGCCCCGUUACGGCCGGCUGUUUGAUUGGUUUCGUGGGACAGCUGGGACUACUGCGAUAGCGAGCUGUUGGAACGAAUGUUGCGUCAUCGUGAUACAUAUUUAGGUAGAUCUGAAAGAGCAUCGGUAUCGAUAUGGACAGGCCUAGCGACACAGGCGCGAGACAGUCCUUGAUUCAUUAAACGUCCUCAACGCGUUCGCAGACCGUAUUGUUGAAAUAGGUGAUACAAUGAACUGCUAUUUAUGUGUACGGAAAUGAACCAGGUCUACAGAGUACAGACGUUGACACGCGCAAAGUUCACAGGAUCCAUGAAACUCGCGGUUCCCGUACGGCAUUUGCCCCCCCCCACACACACACACACACACACACACACAGUCACACACCAAGCGCCGGGCGGAAUCAGCAAUUCGGUACAGAGCAUCUUCGCCCCCACUGAAAUUGCAAGUCCACCGCAAGUCUGGGGACUUCACUAUUGCACGCUGCCAGGCAUGCACGUUUGCAUGGCAGGUGCGGCAUAGUAGGUGCGGUGACUCACGUUCGUGUGAGGGAGGGGGAUGGGCAACACCGAAACACACAAUUGCCGUGCUACCAGCGGUUUUCCGUGGCAGGUGCGGCGAGGAUUUGUGUGGGGGAAGCGAAAAGGGGCCCCACCAAAAUACACAAGGGCGUGCUACCAGCGGGUGGUGCUACCAGCGGGUGGGCGUGGCAAAUGCGGUGAAUGUUUGUGCGAGGGAGGAGGGAACGGGCAACACGGAAGCACACAACGUGCCAUGCUACCAGCUGGUUUCCGUGUCAGGUCGGGCUAGCACUCGUAUGGGGGAGUAGGGAAGAGGCCCCGCUCAAAUACAGAAUUGUGUGGUGCUACCAGCGGGUUUCCGUGGCGGGAAGGGGGAAGGGGCCCGGACAAACACACAAGGGUGUGGUGCUACCAGCGGGUGGGCGUGGCAGGUGCGGGGAGCACUCGUAUGGGGGAAGAGGAAAGGGGCCCCGCCCAAACACACAACGUGCCGUGCUACCAGCGCAUUUGCAUGGCAUGUGCAGGGCAGCGAGCACCUGCGUGGGAGAAGAGGGAAGGCGCCCCGCCCAAGCACGCAGGGUUGUAUGCUACCAGUGGGUUUCCGUGGCAGGUGCGGGUGAGGAUUUGUGUGGGGGAAGAGGGAAGGGGCCCCGCCCAAACACACAACAUGCCGUGCUACCAGCGCAUUUGCAUGGCCGGUGCGGGGAGCACUCGUAUGGGGGAAGAGUGAAGGGGCAACACCGAAACACAUAACGUGCCAUGCUACCAGCGCAUGUGCAUGGCCGGUGCGGGGAGCACUCGUAUGGGGGAAGAGGGAAGGGGUCCCGCCCAAACACACAAUAUGCCGUGCAACCAGCGCAUGUGCAUGGCCGGUGCGGGGAGCACUCGUAUGGGGGAAGAGGGGAGGGGCCCCGCCCAAACACACAACGUGCCGUGCUACCAGCGCAUGUGCAUGGCCGGUGCGGCGAGCACUCGUAUGGGGGAAGAGGGAAGGGGUCCCGCCCAAACACACAGUAUGCCGUGCUACCAGCGCAUGUGCAUGGCCGGUGCGGGGAGCACUCGUUUGGGGGAAGAGGGAAGGGGUCCCGCCCAAACACACAAUAUGCCGUGCUACCAGCGCAUGUGCAUGGCCGGUGCGGGGAGCACUCGUAUGGGGGAAGAGGGGAGGGGCCCCGCCCAAACACACAACAUGCCGUGCUACCAGCGCAUGCGCAUGGCAGGUGCGGGCGAGGAUUUGUGUGGGGGAAGAGGGAAGGGGCCCCGCCCAAACACACAACGUGCCGUGCUACCAGCGCAUGUGCAUGGCCGGUGCGGGAAGCACUCGUAUGGGGGAAGAGAAAAGGGGCCCCGCCCAAACACACAACGUGCCGUGCUACCAGCGAAUUGGCAUGGCAUGUGCAGGGCAGCGAGCACCUGCGUGGGAGAAGAGGGAAGGCGCCCCGCCCAAGCACGCAGGGUUGUAUGCUACCAGUGGAGUUCCGUGGCAGGUGCGGGUGAGGAUUUGUGUGGGGGAAGAGGGAAGGGGCCCCGCCCAAACACACAACGUGCCGUGCUACCAGCGCAUUUGCAUGGCCGGUGCGGCGAGCACUCGUAUGGGGGAAGAGGGAAGGGGCCCCGCCCAAACACACAGCGUGCCGUGCUACCAGCGCAUGUGCAUGGCCGGUGCGGGGAGCACUCGUAUGGGGGAAGAGGGAAGGGGCCCCGCCCAAACACACAACAUGCCGUGCUACCAGUGCAUGUGCAUGGGCGGUGCGGCGAGCAUUCGUAUUGGGGAAGAGGGGAGGGGCCCCGCCCAAACACACAACGUGCCGUGCUACCAGCGCAUGUGCAUGGCCGGUGCGGCGAGCACUCGUAUGGGGGAAGAGGGAAGGGGCCCCGCCCAAACACACAACAUGCCGUGCUACCAGCGCAUGCGCAUGGCAGGUGCGGGCGAGGAUUUGUGUGGGGGAAGAGGGAAGGGGCCCCGCCCAAACACACAACGUGCCGUGCUACCAGCGCAUGUGCAUGGCCGGUGCGGGAAGCACUCGUAUGGGGGAAGAGGGAAGGGGCCCCGCCCAAACACACAACGUGCCGUGCUACCAGCGCAUGUGCAUGGCCGGUGCGGGGAGCACUCGUAUGGGGGAAGAGGGAAGGGGUCCCGCCCAAACACACAAUAUGCCGUGCUACCAGCGCAUGUGCAUGGCCGGUGCGGGGAGCACUCGUAUGGGGGAAGAGGGAAGGGGCCCCGCCCAAACACACAACGUGCCGUGCUACCAGCGCAUGCGCAUGGCCGGUGCGGGGAGCACUCGUAUGGGGGAAGAGUGAAGGGGCAACACCGAAACACAUAACGUGCCAUGCUACCAGCGGGCUUCCGUGUCAGGUGGGGCAAGCACUCUUAUGGGGGAGUAGGUAAGAGGCCCCGCUCAAACACACAGUUGCGUGGUGCUACCAGCGGUUGUGCGUGACAGGUGCGGUGAAGAUUGUGUCAGGGGGGAAGGGAAUAGGCAACACCGACAGACACACACACACACACACACACACACACACACACACACACACACACACACACACACACACACACACACACACACACACACACACCGUUCAGGGACGCAUUAACUUGCACGGUGCGGGCUGCCAAGAUUGCCUUGCGCUUGCAAGGGCGGGGCAGAGUCCAGAUUUCGCCCAAGAGAUCACAUUGCUAGGAAUACAAUAUUAACCAGCGCGCCAACAUCCAUUUUCUGUGCAGGGCACGGCAGGACGCAGCUGCUGGGCAGGGUGCAGCGUGGCGGCGCAACUUGGCGGGCGGUGGCAUGGCUAAGCUGGGUAGCUUGGUGGCGAAGCAUCCGAGGAGCAUGCAUGCGUCGGAUGAUUUACCAACGGUGGUGUACUGUUGAUGCUAGACAGAUUCUAUGUGAAUCGGCAAGCUUAGGACCUGGCGGUGGUCGCUUGCACAUGGACACAUACCGUAUGGACAUCGCACGUACAUGCAGCCAAGGAGCCCCGGGGCGCCCCACGGGGGCACUUCAAUGCAAUGCACUAUUUGCAAGUGAUGUAACCCAGAACCGCUUCCUGA
rnacentral:lncRNA from 1 species